UACGAAGGGUGCAAGCGUUACUCGGAAUCACUGGGCGUAAAGCGUGCGUAGGCGGUUCGUUAAGUCUGCUGUGAAAGCCCUGGGCUCAACCUGGGAACUGCAGUGGAUACUGGCGGACUAGAGUGUGAUAGAGGAUGGUGGAAUUCCCGGUGUAGCGGUGAAAUGCGUAGAGAUCGGGAGGAACACCAGUGGCGAAGGCGGCCAUCUCGGAUCAACACUGACGCUGAGGCACGAAAGCGUGGGGGAGCAAACA
rnacentral:rRNA from 1 species